CCUACGGGUGGCAGCAGUGAGGAAUAUUGGUCAAUGGACGAGAGUCUGAUCCAGCCAAGUAGCGUGAAGGAUGACUGCCCUAUGGGUUGUAAACUUCUUUUAUCAAGGAAUAAAACGUGGCACGUGUGCCUUUUUGCAUGUACUUUAUGAAUAAGCAUCGGCUAACUCCGUGCCAGCAGCCGCGGUAAUACGGAGGAUCCGAGCGUUAUCCGGAUUUAUUGGGUUUAAAGGGAGCGUAGAUGGGUUGUUAAGUCAGUUGUGAAAGGUUGCGGCUCAACCGUAAGAUUGCAAUUGAUACUGGCAGUCUUGAGUACAGGUGAGGUAGGCGGAAUUCGUGGUGUAGCGGUGAAAUGCUUAGAUAUCACGAAGAACCCCGAUUGCGAAGGCAGCUUACUAAACUGUGACUGACAUUGAUGCUCGAAAGUGUGGGUAUCAAACAGGAUUAGAUACCCUUGUAGUC
rnacentral:rRNA from 1 species